rnacentral:rRNA from 1 species
UAUCAAUAAGCGGAGGAAAAGAAACCAACAGGGAUUGCCUCAGUAACGGCGAGUGAAGCGGCAACAGCUCAAAUUUGAAAUCUGGCCCCGGCGGGGUCCGAGUUGUAAUUUGCAGAGGGUGCUUCGGGCGCGAUGCCGGUCUAAGUUCCUUGGAACAGGACGUCGUAGAGGGUGAGAAUCCCGUAUGCGACCGGCGAUCAAGCCCGUGCGAAGCCCCUUCGACGAGUCGAGUUGUUUGGGAAUGCAGCUCAAAAUGGGUGGUAAAUUUCAUCUAAAGCUAAAUACCGGCCAGAGACCGAUAGCGGACAAGUAGAGUGAUCGAAAGAUGAAAAGCACUUUGGAAAGAGAGUCAAACAGUACGUGAAAUUGUUGAAAGGGAAGCGCUUGCGAUCAGACCGGUCUGCCGGCGAUCAGCCGCUGCUCGUCAGCGGUGCACUCGCCGGCGAUCCGGCCAGCAUCGGUUCAGGCGGCGGGACAAAAACCCCGGGAACGUAGCUUCUCUCGGGGAGUCUUAUAGCCCGGGGCAUCAUGCCGCCCGCCCGGACCGAGGACCGCGCUUCGGCUAGGAUGCUGGCGUAAUGGUCGCAAGCGACCCGUCUUGAAACACGGACCAAGGAGUCUAACAUCUAUGCGAGUGUGUGGGUGUCAAACCCAGGCGCGGAAUGAAAGUGAACGGAGGUGGGAACCCGUCAGACGGCGCACCAUCGACCGAUCCAGAUGUCCUCGGAUGGAUUUGAGUAUGAGCAUAGCUGUUGGGACCCGAAAGAUGGUGAACUAUGCCCGGAUAGGGUGAAGCCAGAGGAAACUCUGGUGGAGGCUCGCAGCGGUUCUGACGUGCAAAUCGAUCGUCAAAUCUAGGCAUAGGGGCGAAAGACCAAUCGAACCAUCUAGUAGCUGGUUCCUGUCGAAGUUUCCCUCAGGAUAGCAGUAACGUUUUCAGUUUUAUGAGGUAAAGCGAAUGAUUAGAGGCCUUGGGGCUGAAACAGCCUUAACCUAUUCUCAAACUUUAAAUAUGUAAGAAGUCCUUGUUGCUUCGUUGAACGUGGACAUUUGAAUGCACCGUUACUAGUGGGCCAUUUUUGGUAAGCAGAACUGGCGAUGCGGGAUGAACCGAACGCGAGGUUAAGGUGCCGGAAUGCACGCUCAUCAGACACCACAAAAAGUGUCAAUUCAUCCAGACAGCCGGACGGUGGCCAUGGAAGUCGGAAUCCGCUAAGGAGUGUGUAACAACUCACCGGCCGAAUGAAUUGGCCUUGAAAAUGGAUGGCGCUCAAGCGUGCUACCCAUACCUCGCCGCCAGGGUAGACACGAUGCCCU